rnacentral:rRNA from 1 species
GACAGAGGCCUCGAGCGUUAGGCGGAAUCACUGGGCUUAAAGCGUGUGUAGGCGGGCCCGUAAGUGUCUUGUGAAAUCCCACGGCUCAACCGUGGAACUGCUGGGCAUACUGCGGGUCUUGGGCCAACUAGGGGCAGCCGGAACAAGCGGUGGAGCGGUGAAAUGCGUAGAUAUCGCUUGGAACGCCGAAGGUGAAAACAGGCUGCUGGGGUUGCGCCGACGCUGAGACACGAAAGCGUGGGGAGCAAACGGG